UUUUUUUUUUUUAAAGCUCUGUAACUCCUUAUUUUUCAUGACUGGUGCACUGACAGCCUUACAGUGGCUGUGACCUAUUCAGUAUACAUUUACCCAGAGUUUGUCCUAUUUAAACGGGAAAUAGAUUAACAGGGAAAUAAUGUAGGCCCUAUACAGAUGUUCAUUUUCUAUGCUCCUGUUUCUAAUUGCCACUCUCUCCUGGCAGAAACUAGAGGUGUACAGACAUUCCAGCUUUUUCUCCCGGAGCAAAAAAGCCUAUUUGGGUGAAAAAUAAUCUGACUACAGUUGGUUAGAAAUCCUGGGAGAAUGAAUGUUUGCACACUUUCCUGUGGCUUUUCUCCUCGCAGGAACCAAGAGAAAUAAAGCUACGGGGAAAGGCUCCCAUGCCUUCCUAAGAUAGGAUCACUUCUGGUGAAGGUGGGGGGUGGGUGGGGAGGAAAGGGGGCA